UGUCCUGUGGUGUAAUUGGCAACACGCCUGACUCUGGAUCAGGAAAGUGAAGGUUCGAGCCCUUCCAGGACAACCA
rnacentral:tRNA from 1 species